AUCAUCUACACCUUUAGGCUUUAGCAAUGUGUAGGGAAAAAAUUCAAAGAAACAUAGGAAAGAAAAGUUUGUAACCCUAAUUGUCCACAUUACCACCCGUAGAAUUUGUGCUGACCCUUUUGUGUUAUUACAAAGGAAAUUUCAUCAGAUUACCGUCUACGUUUAUAUUCAUCCACUCAUUCCAGUUUUCUUUUCAAUCUAAAUAGUUCAAUUUCGUAUUGCCGGCAUCAUUUGAAGUUACUUUUCAGAGAUAAGAAGAGUGAAAGGAACGAAAUUGAAGUAUUUUUGCGACAGAUUCCAAUAAGAUUGAAGGUUUGUUUGGGAUCACUCUUAUGUUUUUGUGUUGCCGAAAUCCUCUCUCUCAUCCGAAGCCUCACCCAACGGCCAAACAGAUCUUUAUAUACUACCAGAGACGACUGAGGAAUUAGCAGCUGGUGAAAUUGAACGUUUUAGAGCUCAUUCAAAGGUUCAGGAGCGUUAAGAACAUACAAUAACCUUAGCAACAGUAACAUGAACCGAUUGUUGCUGAAGCAGUGUCAGGUUUGGCAUUAUUUGUCUCUCUUUCCAACUCAAGUCCAUAUUGUCCACUUUUUGGUGGUAUAAUUAUGAAACUCAUUUGCUAAACGACGCCCUAGAAUUUCCUACUAACGCCCUAAAUACAGUAUUUUUAUACUUCCCUAAACCCUCCUCCAAUUUCAAAAGUCCACUUCCCGCUUUACCACCACCACCAUCAUCUUCUUCUCCACCGAACCACCAACACCAUCGUACCCGACACACCACCGUACUCCGACACACCACCGUACCCCGACACACCACCACCACCACCAUCUUCUUCUCCACGUCACCACUACCUUCUUCUCCACGGCACCACCACCACCACCACCAUCUUCUUCUCCACGUCACCACUACCUUCUUCUCCACGGCACUACCAUCACCACCACCUUCUUCUUCUCCACGGCACCACCACUACCACCACCAUCUUCUAAUUCACGGCACCACCACCGCCACCGUACCCUGACACACUAUCCCCUUGUUCUCUCCUCUGUUUUUUUUUUCGUUUUAAAAAAAAAAUUCAGAAAAAAGGGGGCACCCACCAAGGAUGCCCCACCACAGGUGGAGGCGGCCUUGGCAGGCGCUUCACCACAUGGUGAGGCGCCUGGGGCGUCCUUGGUGGGCGCCCCUUUUUUUUUGAAUUUUUUUUUUUAAAAAUAAGAGAGGCGUCCACCAAGGACGCCCCACCACCGGUGGAGGCGUCCUUGGCAGGCGCCUCACCAUGUGGUGGAGCGCUUGCCAAGGACGCCUCUCUUUUUUUUUUUAAAAAAAAUUUCAGAAAAAACAGAGGAUAGUUGCUUGAAACAAUAUGUCAGGGGUAAGGUGGUGGAGGUGAUCUGUCGGGGGUAAAGUGGUGGUGGUGGUGUUGCUGGUGGUGGUGGUGGUGGUGGUGGUGUGUGGCGGGAGUGGUAUAUAAAUACUUUGCAUUUGUAAAAGUCAAAUACCUAGCAGGGGAGAUUAUAUACACGAGAUUUUAUGCUUGAAAAGAAAUCAUCUGCCCCUGCUAAGUAUAUAAAUGCAAAGUCAAGGGGAGAGAGAAAAUAAAUGCAAAGUAUAUAAAUACAGUAUAAAAAAAAAACUGUAUUUAGGGUGUUAGUAGGAAAUUUUAAGGUGUCGGUUAGCAAAGCCCUUACGAAAACAAUGUUGCCUUUCAAGUGUUGUAGUUAUUGUUUUUUUUUUUUUUUUUUUUUUUUUUUGACAAUGGCUAAGAAAGAGGAAGAAAAGGCUACUUUUUCCUUGCAUUAGUUGCCAGGAAAUGUGCCCUAGAGACCUCCUCUCUUUUACAUUUAACAAUAGAAAUAAAAUCUAGCUUACCUGCUUCUUCCUUUAUUUUCCUUGAUAUGUUCCUAAUUUCCAUUGGCGGCUCAUAAUCGUUUUUUAGCGCCCUGAUAAUCUCACUGCAAUCCGUUUUUAUUGAAACGACUUUGGUCGAGGAUUCCAGGGGCACUAUACAGUUGUAGUUAUUGUCAAUGCUAAUUUCUCUCAUUCUAUAAAACUCUUUUUUCAGUGGACUGAUGUUGAGUCUUAGUGACUACAUUAGACAUAUAAUCGUGUCUCCCCAUUUAAGGGUCCAAUCAUAAAAUAUACUGCGGUGUUAGUUGGCACGCCCAAUGAAGGAGCAGUCCGAAUAACCAGGUCAUAUGCGUUUUGAAAUAAAACUAUGAGAGCCUAAUUAAUUAUUCAUGAUGAUUAAUUGCAAAUUAAACGCGUAAAACGUUUUAAGUCCAUUUUUUAAAGCCCAAUUGAAUAUUUAUAAUUUUAAUAUAUAUUUUCAUAAAAAAAAUUAAUUAUCUUUAGAACCUAAAUUAGAUUUUCAACACGCAAAAUUUGAUCUUCGGGUGCUUAAAACAUUAAUUGAUUAUUCUUUGGCAUGAAAUUUAUAAUAAUCGGUAUUAAUAUAGUUCCAAACUAUAUUGUACUCUCAUCCCCAAACUCAAUUUUUGGUUCCUGACCAUCUAUGGAGUCAUGGCGGGAAAUCUACAUUAGAUAAAUCCUUAAUUUGUCCCUACGGUUUUUCAAUAUGCAAUUAGGUCUAUGAUUAUUUCUUUAAAAAAUUGUUGGUGACUUCAAUGGCAUAUUUUUGAUAAAACUUUAACAAUGGGGUAGUCAAAUAUAAUACGCGCUCAUACCGUGUUGGCGAAGUAAAAACACGCCUACAAUUAGGCGACUUUACUAGAGAGGAUUUUUUUUAAUGAGUGAGUGAAACUUGAAAAACACGCCUACAAUUAGGCGUCCAGCUAACCGACAACGACAUCGCACGCAGCAAACUGCGUUCAACGCAACAUACCAUGUAAAUUGCAAGCCUGUGCGUCUGAUGCACAACCUUGUAUAGCGCGCUUGGGGAUUCUUAGUCAAGUGGGGCAACACUCAACUUCAAUAUGAAUUCAAAUAUUAGUUACGACAUUACUCGCGGUUAUUCAACAAACUUUCAAAGGCACACAAAAAUACAAUCUUGCCACUUUACAAAUUUUAGCAUACAUUGUUCGGGAGAUAACCAAUACUCAGAAAAAUCAUUGACGGAACACAAACCAUUAGGGCCUGCAAACCACUUCGAAUAAACCUCAUCAAUUGCCUUGGAAGAAGCCAAACACUCCACAUCAAUUGCCUUAGAACAGGUCGAACACUCGGCAUCAGUUGCCUUGGAAAAGGUCGAACACUUCGCAUAAAUUGCCUUGGAAGAAAACGAACACUCCGCAUCAAUUGCCUUGGAACAGGCCGAACACUUUGCAUAAAUUACCUUGGCAUAAGCCGAACACUCCGCAUCAAUUGCCUUGGAACAGGCCGAAGACUCCGUAUCACUUGCCUUGGAACACAUCGAACGCUCCGUAUCAAUUGCCUUGGAACAAGCCGAACACUCUAAUUUCAAGGACUAUUUAUAGUGUAUGAAAUGACUGUUGUACUUUGAUGUCACCCUAAUUUGGGAGCAUCUGAUUGGCUAAGCAAUAAUGCUAUGACGCGUGGCGCACUGAUUAGAGAGUACACAACACCCUUUAUAGAAAGAUGCUUUUUGUGUUUACUGGGCCUAAGUACAGGUUAGGCCAUAAGAAGGACUUAAUUUACCUUUCUUUAUUCAGAAAAAUGUACUUUAGUCCAUACAAGCUUAUGAUCCAUGUACUUUACUACAACAGAAGAGUGCCACUUGUAGGGUUGUGAUGGGGCCACAUGUCACAUUUAUAGCCGUUAAUUUUUAGGCAUAAUCCCUUGGCAUUGUCUAGCUUCUUUUUUAUGUCGCUUGAGAGAAUUUUGGUGAAGACUUCUUACUGCCCAUUUGUCUGAGGAUGGGCAACGGCAGCGAAGUGAGCUUUAAUGUCGUGGUCGGCCAGCCAUUCUAGGCGCUUAGGCGUUUCUAACUACGGUCCAUUGUCAAAGAUAAUAGACUGAGGCAUCCCAAAUCUUGUAAUGAUGUUCUACCAGAUGAACCUCUUUACAUAUUUGGUGGUGAUGACUCUCAUACCUUCAGCUUCCACCCAUUUUGUGAAGUAGUUUACUGCUACUAUCACAAAUUUCUUCUGGUUGGCCGCUACAGGAAAUGAGCCCAAGAUAUCCAUUCCCCAUUUGGCGAAGGGAAGGGGGAAAAGAACUGGAGUCAAAUAAUUGGACGGCUUCUGAUAUAUGUUGCCAUGCCUUUGACAGCUAUCACACUUCUUUGCAUAAAGAAGAGCGUCCUCCUUUAAGGUGGGCCAAUAAUACCUUGUCCUUAAUGCCUUUUCUCCUAAUGUUCUUCCCCCCAAUGUUAGAGGCGCAAGCUUCUUUAUGCAGCUCUUUCAGGACAUCUAACCCGUCAUCCCUAGCAAUGCAGACCGGAAUAGACGAGGAUACUAUGGGAUAGAAAGUAUGGUCUUAGCUUCCGGCUGGCCAUAAACAGUGUCAGGCCGAAUUUCUCUACCAUUGAAUAUCUACAUCCUUUAGCACAUGGCUAACAAAGUAGAUCGGAAUUUGCACUGACUAUCUUCCAGCCAGGAGAAUAUCGCUAACUGCAUGCGGCGAUACAACCAGGUAUACAUAUAGUUUUUCUCCUUCGGCCGGACUGAUUAAUCGAGGCAACUGUCGGAGGUGCUCCUUAACCUACUGAAGAGCCUGCUCCGCCUCUUCCGUCCACUCGAAUUUCGCAUUCUUUUUUUUAUUGUUGCGAAGAAAUGAUGAGAUUUAUCUUCGGAUUUAGAAAGAAUACGUCUUAGGGCUGCUGAACGUAGGAAAAACUAGAUCGUUACUAAUUCCCCUAAUGUCAAAUAAAAACCUAACUAUCCACCUAAACUACUUAAGUGGUAAGCAAGGGUCGAACCACAAGGAUCGGAGGGUCUCACUAAGAUAGAAUCGCUAAUAGUAAGCUAAAUCGAAAAAAUGGUCAAGUUUUUGUUGAACUAAGUGAAUAAUAUUAUUGAAAUCAAAUUAGGAAAAACACUAGAAAUGGAAAAUCACCACAAUCAUAAGUUCACAUCCAAAAACCAAAUAAAGAUAAGAAGGUUGACAUGUAUUGGGAAUAUGCAAAGGGAAUAAGCAAACCUAAACACCUCUAAAAUCGUUGUUAGGGAGUUUAGAGUCCUAAUUAUGGCAAUAAAACCUAUGUUUCGAGGCGUUAUCACCUAACUAGGUCAAGUUAAGAAUUGAAGCCUAAACCCAAGUUAAUACCAAUCAACAAGUGAUGUGCAACAAUAAAUCAAUCAAUCAUGAAGGUCAUCCACAUAAAAGUAAACCUUUAAUUGGGCAACAAAGGAUCAAAAGGUGAUGGAGCUCACAUCAACUUAGUCACCAACCAACACCAAAAAUUGAAAUUGCACAAACCUCAAGAAAAGCCAACCCAAUAAACUCUACUCAUACAAAUAGGAUGAAAAUAAUGAUUGGGCUACUCCCAGUCCUAGUUGAUUAACUACUCACUACCCAUUACACUACUAGGCAUUCUAAUCAUGGAGAAAAUAGCAAUCAAUCACCAAUCUAAAAAUAUCAAAAAUCCAACAAAAAAAGACAAUAAUUCAAAACAAGAUCUAAUGAACAAACAAGAAGAAACAAAGAGAAGAAGAAGAGUCUAAUCUAUAUUAACUAUUGAACAUGAAGAUUAAACUAUGAAAAUAUGAAAUUAACAAAGUAGAAAUGCAUAAAAACAAUGAGAAAGAAAGAAAGGAUUGAGAGGAUUGCUAAGGAAACAAAAAAGUUCAAAGAAAUUGUCACUUUUUCAUUGAUUUUCAAUCUCCAAAUUACACCUCUUGAGCCAUGUUUCCUCUCUCUUACACUAGUCAGUAAGAUUAGGGUUCUAAAAAUCUGAAUCCCCUCCUAAAAAGGGGGAGAGAGGUAUUUAUACCUCUCUCUAUUACAGCCGUCGUAAAACAAAAGAAACCCGAAAAAUAAUCCAACGGUCAGGCGCUCGGGCGGGAGAGACAGGGCCCGGGCGGGUGAUUAAAGAGGGCCUGGGCGGGCGAGCUUAUGAGCCCGGGCGGUGCAGGGUGGUCAGGCCCGGGCUAACGUCUCGGGCAUGGGCCAUUAAAGAAGCGAAACACUAAAAUGCAACAUAAAAUAAGUAAAAUAGCCUAAAAAACUACCCUAAGAGUGAUAUAAAUCUCACUCAUCAACUUCCCCCAAACUUGAGUGUUUGCUUGUCCUCAAGCAAAGUGCAAAGAGACAUAGAAGGGAAGGAAAUGAUACGAGGAGGAUAGCAAGGCAAAAUUACUAAAAGUAAGUGCACUCAAAGCAAAAAAAAGGAAACUAUAUACACUAACUCAUUUUCGUAGGAAUCAUGGUCAUCUUUAGCGUAAAUGACAAGCCAUUUAAACCCUAAAGUUGCCAAUGAGGAUGAAUAAUGCUCUCGUAAGGGUUUUCUAGGAGUUUUGACCCAUAACUCUAGAUCUUAUAAUGCAAGGCAAAUAAAAAAUAAACAAACCAAGGAAGAAAAAUAAAAUAAAAAGGUGCUCUUAAGUGAGACAAAAAAGGAGCAAACACAAAUGGAUGCAAGGAUUUCUAGACACUAAAAGUAAGCAUGCUCAAAGAUGUCCAUAGGUUGAUUAUAACAUACUAUACACUAAGCAUAGAGAACUAAAUAGAGCACAUUUCCUAAAAUUUUACAACCAUACAUACCGCGUUCUCUCAACUAGUUUCAAAUUCGCCAUUCAAGGUAGCUUCUCUAAACUCCGAAGAAUGGAGCCGAUGAAUGUAAGAAGGAAUAGAACAAGAGAAGGUUACUUGACAUCUCGACAUGGCAAACUCGCUCAAUAGGCUUGAAUCCAAUCUUCCGCCAUCGACAAUGACUCCACCCUCUAAGGUCAAAAGGACUUUUUAAGGGUGGUAAUGUAGGCUAGGGGUAAAGGGUGUGAAUAAAUUUGGAUAGUGGUGCUCAAUCCUAAUAUAGUGAAGUUUUAAAUAGGAGCGAAAGAGCUAUAUAACCAUAAAUCACAAAUCAACUCAACCAUUUAGGGAUAGGAUUCCCCCAAACUUAUUAAAAAACAUGACAAUGAAGAACAAUUUUUGGAUUUUCUUUCCCCCCUUUUUUUUUCCUUUUUUUUUCAUGCCCUUCACCUUCUUUGACUUUAGGUGGCUUUUCCUAAGAAGUUGCAAUUGCAGUUAUUCCAAAAUAUACAAAAAUUUCCACUAUACCACAAGAAUCUCAUCUUCUUCUUCGUCUUCCCCUUUUUUUUCUCUUUUUUUUUUUUCAUUUUUCCCCUUUUUUUUUCAAAUAUCACUCAAGACAAUCGCUCUAAUUUCACUAUUCACUACAAGGGUGAAGAAUAAAACAAGGAGGUAAUUGGCUUGUAUUAGGGGUAUUAAAAGAAAAAGAUAAGGCUCAAACUGCUAAGAGGAAGGGCAAAUGCAAAUAAAAACAAGAAAAAAAAAAGUAAGAAUAAAGAGCCUAGAACUACAAAAAUAAUAAUAAUAAAAAG